GUUCUCAAGAGAUCUGACAGUUUUAUAAGGGUCUUUUCCCCUUUUGCUCAGCACUUCUCCUUCCUGCCUGCCACCAUGUGAAGAAGGAUGUGUUUGCUUCCCCUUCCACCAUGACUGUAAGUUUCCUGAGGCCUCCCCAGCCAUGCUGAACGGCAAGAAGGUGUACUGAGCCCUGUUGCUCCAUACUGGCCAAAAGUGGAAAACCUCAAACCCAAGCCUUCUCCACCACCCCCGAGGCCUCCUGUGCCGACUUCUAUCAAGGAGGCCUAUAUUGGAAUCAUCUGACCCCUUGUCUGUAUGACUCAUGAGAGCCAUGGUAAAAUAAAAAUUCAAUCUCUGAGUCACCAGUCCCUAGCACAGAGGCCUGGCUCACUUGAGAUUCUAGGGAAGCUUUGCUGGUUGAAUAAACGUAUGUGUGGAUGCAAGUCCUGGCUCAAAAAUCUAAGGUCCUCUAAGAACACAGGUCCCUAGCGCCAUUCCGAAAGGCUCGACCCAAGGCCUGCACUGAACUUGAGAACAAAAUCUAAACUCUUCACUAGCCAGGAGAAUUGGGGACUUUGUUUCCCCUUAACGACAGUAAGAAGAGAACCCAAACCAAAGCCUAGAAUAAGAAGUGAUUUGAUAAACUGGACAAACACCCUGGGAAAUGGCAAUUAGAAUAACUUGCAAUUUCAAUCACUCCUUUGUUUCAUAAUUUUCCUAGAAGCUAAAUAUUUUUCUAUUUGGUACAAGGGGAUUUUCCUGGCCAUCUCUUCAAAAGAUAGGAAAUUAAUAAUAUUGGGUCUUGCGAGUAUUCACUUAAGUUUAGAUAAUUUCUGUCAUUUCCUGUUUAAAAUCUCCCUAAUAACAAGAACAUGCAGUAACAAGUUUUUUGGCAUUUUUCUUAAAUGAAGAUAGGACAAAAUAGAUUGUUCUACCCUGUUCACCCUGGCCAUAACCAUAUCUAGGUGCAAAGAAAUGGUACACAGUGUGAAGAAUAAAUCAAUUCCUAGACACAUUCUACAGGACUUUCCUAAAUUAGAUCAUAACAAUUUUAAAGGUCAAAUAAAGGCAAAAACACUUUCAGUCUUAGUACCAAGGCAUCAUGUGGCUCCUUGCAGUGAGCUGUGAAACUUCCCCACCAACAUGAAAGCUUACAGUCAAGACUCACAGGAGAAAAAAAGAGAAAAGGACUAAAUUGUCGUGUAAAUAAGAGAUUCAGGAUUAACACAAGCAUUCUUUUAUUUUUUUGAGAUGGGGGUUCACUGUGUUGCCCAGGCUGGAGUGCAGUGGUGCAACCUCAGCUCACUGCAACCCCCACCUCCCCUGCUCAAGCGAUCCUCCUGCCUCAGCUUCCUGGGUAGCUAGGACCAUAGGUGUGUGCCAGCACACCUGGCUAAUUUUUUGUACUUUUGGUAGAGACUGGGUUUCACCAUGUUGCUCAGGCUGAAGACAAGCGUUCUUAUGCACAUUUCUGGAGGAUAUUGAGGGGUAGGUUUAAAGUCCAACCAUGCUUUUUUUUUUUUUUUUUUUUUUUUUUUUUUUGAUACAUGGUCUCGCUCUGUCGCCCAAGCUGGAGUGCAGGGGCAGGAUCUCAGCUCACUGCAGCAUCUGCCUCCCAGGUUCAAGCAAUUAUCCUGCCUCAGCCUCCCAAGUAGCUGGGACUACAGGCAUGCACCACCACACCCGGCUAAUUUUUGUAUUUUUAGUAGAGAUGGAGUUUCACCAUGUUGACCAGGCUGGUCUUGAACUCCUGACCUCAGGUGACCCACCCUCCUCAGCCUCCCAAAGUGCUGGGAUUACAGGUGUGAGCCACCACACCCAGCCGCUACUAUGCUUUUUAAAGAGCAAGAGAAACUAGCUUAACAGGUAUAACAUCCCCUUUCAAUACAAAAGUCUCUCACCAAAGAUCCUUCUCUGCUGGUACAACUGCGGCGCAUCUACCUUCACCACGGAGAUGGUUCUCAAACCUAAAACUGUCUCUCUCACUCUCUGCUUUGAAUACUUCAAGAGGGCCACACUGUCCGCAGAAGUAAAAAGCCAUUACUAUGGUGUAUAGGGUUCUUCAUGAUCUGCAAACCUACACACGAAAAGAAUGUAUUCUCUUCCCACACAUCAUAUAUUCUUGUCUAGGGAUUCCCAGGGUAGGUUAUCAGUAGGUCAAUUAGGUUUGGAUACACAGAAUUAAACACAGUUCAACAGGCUAACUUGUUCCUGGCAUUACUGAGCUCCCAGAAUUCCCCAUGGAACACCUCCAUGGACCAGUGCUCUGGAGAACGCAGAUGCUACUCUCCAGACACUUCAAACUGCUUCUUCUCCGUCUAACACGCCACCUUCUUUUAUUCCUCCUUCCUUUGCACACCUUGAAAGAAUAUUCGUUUCUGUUCUGUCUCCCUCUUCUUAUUCCCAUUCACUGCUCACCUCUCUGGGAUCAGGCUUUGAACUCUAACAUGCUGCAGAAACUGCAGUGCUCCAAAUGUGACACCUACCUUUUCUCGUGUCCCUUCACAUUUUGAAAAGUAUAAAAUGAUCUUCAUCACUUUUGAAUGCAUUUGCAUGCAAAGGCAUAAAAGUGGCUGGGAAGAAGAUGUAAUGCACUCAUGAAGUGUUUGCCUUUGGGGACAGGAGGGACACCCUUUCUGGUGUCCCUUCGCCCUUUCACAGCUCACUGCAAGGAGCUACAGGAUGCCUGUGGACUAAGAAUGAAAGCAUCUUUUUGCCUUUUUUUUGUGUCCCUUCACCUGUGUACUUGCUCCCUGUGUACCUGUACACGCCCUUUCUCAUACCUCUUGGCUUGGCUCACUUCUAUGUCAUUUUUUAUCUUUUUCUUUUGAAAAUUAAAAAUACAGAGAGAAAGGCAGAAUAAGGCAGAAUAAAAACCAAACGCCUGCAUUCCCAUUCAUCAGAGGUGACAACCAGUAGACUACACUAAUUAAUGUCAUGUUGUUAGGCUAAUAAUGUCACGUUGGCUUCAAGACUUUUCUUUUUAAUAAAAGAACAUAACAGGAUAAAAGUGAAGGGUCCUGUGAUCUCUGCUGACAGCCCACUCCCACUCUGCUUCUCCUCACAAGCACCUCACAAGUGUCCUGCGUCUUCUUCUGGUCCACUUUUAUACCUUUACAUGCAAAUGCAUUCAUAACCAAUGAAAACGAUUUUGUACUUCACAAAAAAACAACAUAAUCACAUCAUACAAUUACUCAUCCAUCACCUUUGUCACUGCAUAAAAUCUAAUCAGUAAGAUCUACCCAUAUUGGCACACAACUCAACAAUAUCUGCCAAUGCUAAUUCGACUGAUCUAUCAACACUGAUCCUACUGUUUCUUCCACCAUCUCCAGUUACUUAGAACUUAGCACCAUGUCCUGUCUCCAAGGGCUUCUUAUUUGCCCCUCCCAGUGGCCCCGUAAGAUGCCCCAAAUGCCUUCAGCUGACACAGGGCAGGGACACACUCUUCAGGUCCGGCCCAGUCUAAGGCUGUGCCCUUAAGUGUUGUGCUAAGCUCCCCCAUUUUUUUGUUUUAUAAUUUAUUUUCUUUUUUUCAAAUAAAAAAAUAGAGAGGGUCUUGCUACAUUGCCCAGGCUGGUCCCAAACUCCUGGCCUCAAGCUAUCCUCCCACCUUGAUUCCCAGAGUGCAGGGAUAACAGCGUGAGCCACCGCACCCAGCCAAGCUGCCCUGUGUCCAUCAAUACCCCACUAGGCACUGUCUCUGCGCCACUGUCUUGUACAUAUCAUGUCUCUCAAUUCCCUGAACCAUGCACUUACUUAUGUGUUAAGUACAAUUACUAUCCUCACUUUACAGAUACAGAAACUGAGGCUGGGGCAGGUCCUGGAGGCUUGGUGUGAACCACAACUAUACAGCUUUAGACUCUAAGUUUUUAUCCACAGGGCUAAAUGUCAGGUUUACUUGGAAAAAAAAUAAAAGUGGAAGAUGAAAUUAGAAAGAUGGGCCCGUGUAAGAUUGUGAAGAGGCUUGAAUGCUCAGCUCAGGAGUACCGGUUAACAAGUUACAUGGUAUUGUACCUAUGUCACUGGUCCCUGAUCAACACAGCACCAGAGCGCCCUGGGAACAGGGAAACGGUACUCACGGUCAUGGACCUUGUAGCAGUGCGUCUGCAAGCGCUUCACGUCCCAUUCCUCUAGCACGCCAUGGGUCAUCAGCAACUGGAGGAAGCGCCGGUGGACAUCAGUCAUGACGCCCAUUCUCCUUGUGCUGCCCUGCAUGUGGGAACGAACUGAAAAGGAAGUAAAUGACACUAGUCAACCCCAAGCACAUCAGAAGCAACGUCCUGGGUCUUGUA
rnacentral:lncRNA from 1 species